rnacentral:lncRNA from 1 species
ACCAUUCCAAACCUAGGCACAAUUUGCCUGAUCUGGUCCAGCUCCUGGUCCUCUUCAAACGACGCAGUUUGGACGUUGUUUAAUCCUGGACGUCCGUCUCCAUCUAUCCAACAGACAGGAACUGUGGACUCCAUUUCCUUUAAUAUGUCCAAACGUUUCAGAGACCCGUUCAGAUCCCAUCUCUUUGUCUCUCUCAUCUUCUCCGAUUUUCAACCCUAGACACCUUGAGUUCCACCAUUUUUACGGACAGAGGGAGCUUCAAACUUCACUAAUUUUUAACUAGCCUUUACCCAUGAUCCUUCAAGCAUGAGGAUGGUACAAAAUCUGCAAAUUUCCUCCAAGUUCAGUCAAUCCAGGUUUAAAAGAAGGAAAAGAAGAAAGGGGUAAAACCUCUCAAAUUCAUCGAGUCUCAAAGGAUGAUUAGGACUGCAUUCGCCCUCGAUGGUUUGUUCUCAACGAGAACAAUCAAUUGAGGCUGAUUUCGGAUCGAAUCGAAGUCCCCAUGAGUUCGUCCAGCCUCGCCCGCAUGCCUAUUAGGUAUUUUAAGUUUUUCAUCAUUUUCUUCCCUUUCAUGUGUUUUAUUUCUCGCCACAGUCCCCUCUGUUUCCUCUCUUCUUGUUCAUUUGUUUCCCGUUUUCAUUUUUCUUGUUGUUUUUUUGUUUAAAUUGUUAUGUUCAUAUGAUUAAGAUUGACAUACGCAAUUUUUUAGUUUAAUCUUUGUUUUUUUUAAUUGUUGUUUUCCUGCACUUUGUUUCAUUUUUUUUCGGUUGCUCUAUUUUCUAAGAAUUUAAGUGGAUUCAUUUAUUGAGUCUGUGGCUUAAUUAAGCAUAAAGCUUCUAAAGCCCGAAAGGCUGUUGAAGCCCAUCGUCGCAAAGGCCCAGGGCUUUUUGGCUAGUUUGGUUUGUAGCUGAGGGUAAUUAACAGGGUUGUUCAAGUUCGUUUUGGUAAUUGGGGAAGGGGGAUAUUUUCUGUUGUACUGGAUAAGAUUGAAAUGGCAUAUGAUGGUGAGAGAGGAUCAGAUUUUUUACGGAAGGUUAAGGGAAUGAAAUCAGGGUAAUUCAGGGGUAGAUUGGGUAACCACCUGGGAAGCUUCUUAGAAGCUGAUAAAAGGCAUGCUUCGCCAACAAGUCAGGAGUUCAGGGAUUGGGUAGCAAAAAAUAAGAAUUAGCUAGGGACUGAUUUGAAAACUGAACAUAUUUUGGGCUGCCCUAAGAGCUGCAUAUAAAGGGAUAGCUAAUAGAGUUUUAGAGGGGGGGNNNNNNNNNNNNNNNNNNNNNNNNNNNNNNNNNNNNNNNNNNNNNNNNNNNNNNNNNNNNNNNNNNNNNNNNNNNNNNNNNNNNNNNNNNNNNNNNNNNNNNGGGGGGGGGGGGGGUAGAGAAAAGAUCUAGAAGGAUUAGAGAGCUAAGAAUCUGAAAACACAAAUGGCUGCAAAUCUACUGUUUCACUGGAUUUUCUGAGUGAUUUUUCAGUUUUCUCUUGAUUCACUGAAAUACUUUUGGGUGGUCUUCAAUUUUUCAGUCCCAAAAUCCCACAAGAAAACUAUUUUUCUUUGUUCCAGUUUUAGAUUAGAUUUCGGCAUUCAAACACACAAAAUAACAAAAAAAAUAUGUAUUUAGAAUUAGAAAAACCAAAAAAAUGGUCAAACUCAAAAACAAACACUGCUCCAUUUGAUUUUCUAUCUGAAUUUUAGUUUGGGUAACUGAAUCACAUUCCUGAAGUUCAUUUUGGCAUUUUGAAGAUCAAGGGAAAUUUCUGUUGGGUUUCUAGUAAUCUGGGAUUCAUUUGAUCUGUCCUAGUCCUUCUAAUUGGCUUUUUUGAUUGCCAAAGUUGUCUCUGAAGUGCACUGUGGUGAUUACUUUGAGGUUAUUAUUGCUUCUGGUUUUCCUACAAUUUUCUGGGCUGUUGUAUAUUUCUGGGCUGUGUUUUGAGUUCUGUUAGUGGUUGUUGCUGACUGCUUCUACUUCUUCUUCGAUUUGAAUUCCAAUUCCAGGCACACAGCUAUAACCUUGGCAAUUGUAAGCUGAAAUCAUGCCCAGCGAAUAUAUGAAGGAUUGAAAUGUGUUUUGACUGAGCUCUCUUCCUGAUUUUUGUAUUUAAACACUUAGUUCAUUGGUAUGACGUACCUUUCUGUUGGCUCUGUAAUAAUUAGACUGAAGAAAUCAUUACUACCCAAAUACAUAAUAAGUUUUUCCCUAAAGUUGCAGUUGUAGUUAAUUUCAUGACUUGAUUAACAGGAUAGUUUAGGUUAGCUUUAGUUCAUUUCUUGUCGGCUACUUCCUAAGUUUGUUUAAAUAGAACUGAGUUCAUUUGGUAGUUAUUAUCAUUUGAAUCUAUAAUUAAAUAGAAUUUGGCAGAACUGUUUUGGUCUGAGUUGGAACAUAAAAUAUUGAUAUUUUAACAUGGAAUAUCUUAUUGCUUAUGGUGGUCAAUAUGAGGAAUGAUCUGCAGUUUUCAUAAUGUUCAGUAGAAUGAGAAUUAGAAGCAGGUUUGCUUAUUUAAAUAUCAAUAUCACAUACGUAAUGUAAUUUGCAAGCAUCUGUGAAUUGGUAACUACUUCCUAGUUUUUUUUUUAAAUAGAACUGAGUUCAUUUGGUAGUUGUUAUCACUUUAAUCUAUAAUAAAAUAGAAUUUGGCAGAAUUAUUUUGGUCCGAGUUGGAACAUAAAAUAUUGAUAUUUUAACAUGGAAUAUCCUUAUUGCUUAUGGUGGUCAAUAUGAGGAAUGAUCUGCAGUUUUCCGUGUUCAGUAGAAUGAGAAUUAGAAGCAGGUCGUGCUUGUUUAAAUAUCAAUAUCACAUGAGUAAUGUAAUUUGCAAGAAUCUGUGAAUUGGUUAGUUUGUAUGUGAAAGUUGACUUUGAGUUUCAGCCCGUCUGUUUACCUGUUAAAAUUCCAGUUGUGUAAAUUGUUUGCUUGAACAGUUUUGAGCGUCAAUUUAGUAUAGUGUA